rnacentral:tRNA from 1 species
GCCUGGGUGGCUCAUCAGUUGAGCGUCUGACUUCGGCUCAGGUCAUGAUCUCACAGUCUGUGAGUUCGAGCCCCACGUCGGGCC